rnacentral:rRNA from 1 species
GUGGGGAAUAUUGCACAAUGGGGGAAACCCUGAUGCAGCGACGCCGCGUGAGUGAAGAAGUAUUUCGGUAUGUAAAGCUCUAUCAGCAGGGAAGAAAGGCUCCGCAAGGAGAGAUGACGGUACCUGAGUAAGAAGCCCCGGCUAACUACGUGCCAGCAGCCGCGGUAAUACGUAGGGGGCAAGCGUUAUCCGGAUUUACUGGGUGUAAAGGGAGCGCAGACGGAAGAGCAAGUCUGAUGUGAAAGCCCGGGGCUCAACCCCGGGACUGCAUUGGAAACUGUUGUUCUUGAGUACUGGAAGGGUAAGCGGAAUUCCUAGUGUAGCGGUGAAAUGCGUAGAUAUUAGGAGGAGCACCGGUGGCGAAGGCGGCUUACUGGACAGCAACUGACGUUGAGGCUCGAAAGCGUGGGGAGCAAACAGGAUUAGAUACCCGUGUAGUCC